rnacentral:rRNA from 1 species
UUGCACGCUGGCGGAAUGCUUUACCCAUGCAAGUCGAACGGCAGCACGGGGGCAGCCCUGGUGGCGAGUGGCGAACGGGUGAGUAAUACAUCGGAACGUGCCCGGUCGUGGGGGAUAACGUAGCGAAAGUUACGCUAAUACCGCAUACGAUCUGAGGAUGAAAGCGGGGGACCUUCGGGCCUCGCGCGAUCGGAGCGGCCGAUGUCAGAUUAGGUAGUUGGUGGGGUAAAGGCCUACCAAGCCGACGAUCUGUAGCUGGUCUGAGAGGACGACCAGCCACACUGGGACUGAGACACGGCCCAGACUCCUACGGGAGGCAGCAGUGGGGAAUUUUGGACAAUGGGCGCAAGCCUGAUCCAGCCAUUCCGCGUGCAGGACGAAGGCCUUCGGGUUGUAAACUGCUUUUGUACGGAACGAAAAGGCUCUGGCUAAUACCUGGGGCUCAUGACGGUACCGUAAGAAUAAGCACCGGCUAACUACGUG